GGUGGGCAUGGAACGGGCUGCCCAGGGCUGUGGGCACGGCCUCAGGCUGCUGGAGUUCAAGGACUGUUUGACACAGCUCUCAGCCACGGGGUUUGGAUUUUGGGUGGUGCUGUGUGGAGCCGGGAGCUGGAUUCAUUUCUCAUGGAAUCUUUCGAGUUGGAAGGGACUUCUAAAAGCCACCUAGUCCAACUGCCCUGCGAUGAAUUGAUUGUUAUGAAUCUCUUCUAACUUAGGAUAUUCUGUGAUUCUGUAAAUUUUCUCUGUUUUGCUGUUUUUUUGCAUGUUUUUAGGUGUAUCUGAACAUCUUAGGGAGGUGCUCGAGUAUCUGAAUGUGCUCUCUCACGUGGCAGAUGCGUUAUUCACUGUGCUUGCUGCAGAUGCAGUUGUCUAGUUUCUGAUUUCUUGAUUUUACACAACUUGACAUCACCAUUCAGACAUUCUUACAGACCAAAAUUGGGCUUAUUAACACAGUGAGUUUGAAAUGCAAAGGUGAAGCAGAUACUCUCUUUCAAAAUGACUUUCCAAGCCCUGGUUUUGAGUUUGGUUUGUGUUGUGCUUGGAAAGGCAAAAGUGGUUACGCAGACUGAGCAAAGAGUGGUGAAGGCGGGCAACAGUGUGACUCUCAGCUGCGCCCUGACAGAGCCCAAGGACAUUGUGCAAGUGACGUGGCAGAAAGACUAUGUAAAAUCACCAAGUAACAUAGCUACAUACAGCAAGUCAACAGGAUUAAAGAUUCAGAAGCCCUACCAAAACCGGAUGAAUUUAACCAGCCUGAUGCUCAACAACACAAGCAUCACUUUCUGGAACGCAAGAAUAGACGACACAGGGUGUUACUUGUGCUUGUUCAACACCUUCCCUUUGGGCUCCUUUUUAGGACGUUCUUGCCUUCAAGUCUAUGGUCUCAAUGCAUCUAUCCACUACAACGUUUCAGAAGGUCAUCUGAUAGCCACCUGUAGUGCUGUUGGCUACCCAGAACCCACCAUCAGCUGGAACAAUGUGUUCAAUUAUACUCCUACACAGGAGAAGUUCACAUAUGAAAAUGGAGUCGUGUCCAUCACCAGUGAACUGAAGGUCUAUGACUCUCAGAACAUCAGCAAGGAAGACUUGACCUGCAGAGUAAGCAACGAGAGUGAAGAAAUGGAAUUGCCCAUAAGUAUGAAAAAAAAAGAGGGAUUAAGGUUCUUGGGGCUGGCUGUGGCUGUGACUCUUUCACUUGUCAUCUUGGUCCUGGUUCUCAUUGCACUGCGUUGGAGGAAGAAGAUAUGUAAGAGGAGCUGAAGUGGAUUGCAGAGGAUGUCCAUUCAUCUCCUGGAUCAUUACAGCCUAGCAUCCCAAAGUCAACACUAAAAGCAGAGACCUGCAUGACUGGAAAGUAGCAGCAGUAAAAGGGAAAUACAUCAAGACCAAAGCUCUGAGCCCUCUAGCCAGCGUCUUCAUUGCUGAAAGACUAGCAUGAUAUUUGAUUCCUGAUCUAAACACUACAUCACAAGGAAAGAGGACCAGAGGGAAUGCUCAGACCUCUCUUCUGCUGCCAGACAAUAUCUGCUCUGCUCGUGCCAUUCCUGAUACUGCUAGUCUGCAAAUGCAUUUGCCUUCUUCCCAUGGAAGCUGUGAGCAAACUGGGGGUCCUCUUCCAGUGCAUAACUGCUCUCAGUAAAGAGCUGGGGGGAUUAUUUUACUAAUAGCUUUCUGCAUGUUACGUUUUGCAACUCAGCAACUCAUCAUUUUCUUCCUGUCAUCUCCUUUUCUUCUUUCUUAUCCAGCUAAUGCAGCUCCUUCUCCUUGCUGAAAGUGUCAACAGCUGUAUUUCUGAGCUACCUCUAGAGAGAUCUGCUGCUGGAGGUCUCAAACCACACCAAAUCUCCUGAAAUUAUUGAUAAAAGAUUUUUUUCAGAAGAUGGGCUGAAGUUAGCAGGAAAAUGGGCACUGGGCGAGAAUGUGCAUAUUGAUCAUCAGUGUUUAACGCUCAAAAGGGCUGUUGAGCACAUGAAAGAAUGCAAUGCCAAGAAAACGCACCAAGCUUUGAUGGACACAUUGCAGAGUAUUUUCUCGGACACCUCAGAAGAUAUAGCAGUGAGAAAUGCCUGGAUGUGAGAGAAACUUGGCAUAUUUUCAUGUCUGCCUUGAAUAACCCAUCCUGCUGGGUUGCUCGCCUUUUGCCUACAAGUGGGUGUAGCUCACUGUGGUUUUGCAUGAGCGGUCAUGCAGGAAGAGGUGAGACCCACCAAACCACAGUUUGCCUCGCUCCCUGUGAGCAAUGCUGUUGAUAUAACGACCCAGCUCAGACAGGGAAGGAUUUCUAGUGGCUGCCACUGAUUUCCUACAGGAGGGCACUGUGGAAGGAAGGAGAGGUGGUACGCAUGGGGAAAGAUCAAAGUGCUUUCAGAGAUCUGCAGUAGUAUCGCAUUCUUCUUUCGAUUACGUGAGUGCAGCUGAAGACCUGGAGCAGCAGUGAUGAGGUGCAUGCACUGCAGCUACUCCCUUCCCUAUUCUCAUAGGAAGCUCCUGCGUUGAGGGAAGAAGUUCCCGGAGCUUUCUGUGCUGGUGAAAGAGGCAGCUGUGCUAAUUCUGAUACCGAGUAUUCUCUUACAAACUGAGAUGCUGCAAAACUCCUCAGAAGAGCAGAAAAGGAAGACUUACACCUCUGUCUGACACAGUUAAAAUCUCUCCCUGUGCACUUAUCAGCUUGCAUAUCUCUGUGAAACUCUGUGCUUCAGCGAGGGCUACAUCACUAGGCAACUACUGCAAAGAAACAUGAGUUCUACAGGAUUUCAGGGAAGAAUUCUUCCUCUACUUUUGUUCACUUCUGAGUUUGCUUCUUGGCACCCUCUUCCUUAAUGUGAGGUCAGCCAGAGUACUUUCACAGUUUUUCCUGUCUGUUUUGUCAUUUGUUUCUGUUUCGCAGGCUUACAGCUCCGAAGUUUUUCCAAGAGAGAAGAGAAACCAAACUGGAAGAUGAGAGCAUUGCACAGGCACCAAAUGCUGUUUCUGUUCAACCUUUGUUUCAUCGAGAAAAGUGGGUGUCUAAAAUCAAAGCACGCAUUACUUCCCAUCACUUGUAAUCUGAGACUAGUGUUUUAGUGGAGUCUGCUGCCAGACUACAGAGAAAAGGAAACUUAGUGGAUCACCAGGUUUUUCAGCCUCUGAGAAAGAUAACCAACCAAGCACCAAGAGACAGGAUAGAAGCAUGAAGGUGGUAAUUAACCACAUAGCUGAUUUUGGACUGUUACUAUGCUACCAGAAAAACAUGCUGGGAGAAGCCAUCAUCCACCGUGAAUGAGUUUUCUUGUAUAAGGAAUCCACUUGUUUAUGAGACUCACUUUAAACAAUAACAGAAUCACAAAAUCACAGAGUUGUAGGAGUUGGAAAGGACCUCUAGAAAUCAUCGAGUCCAACCUCUUCUGCUAAAGGAGUUCCCUGCAGCAGGUCACACAGGAAAGUGUCCAGGUUGGUUUUGAAUAUCUCCAGAGGAGACUCCACAACAUCUCUGGGCAGCCUGCUCCAAUGCUCUGCCACCCUCACAAUAAAGAAGUUCUUCCUCAUGUACGUAUGGAACUUCCUGUGUUCCAGUUUGUGCCUAUUUCUGUUGUCCUGUCACUGGGCUCUGCUGAAAGAGUCUGGCCACAUCCACUUGACUCCUGCCCUUUAGAUAUUUAUCAACAAUGAUGAGAUCCCUCUCAGUCUUCUCCAGAGGGAAUAGUCUCUCAGCCUUUCUUCAUAAGGGAGAUGCUCCAGGCCCCUAAUACUCUUUCUGGCCUUUCACUGGACUCUCUCAAGAAGAUCCUGUCUUUCUUGAGUGAGGAGCCCAGAACUGGAUGCAUACAGAGUGGCCUCACUGGGGCAAAGUAGCUGGGGAGGACCUCUUCCCUCAACCUGUUGUCCACACUUUUCAAUGAAACCCAACUUUUAGAGUCCAACUGGUCCCAGUAUUGUUCUGGUAAUGAGGAAGAGCUCCAGAGUGAAAAUGUUGGACUCUGAUUAUGCUUUGCUGUCAUUCAGCAGCACUCAUCCUUCCACCUCUGUCUUGAACAACUGUGUGACUGGUCUUUCCUUGCAGUAAUGAACUAGACAGUGUAUAACCAAGUAGUUAGCAAUACAGAUUUUGUUCUCAGAGUUUCUUUGAACUUUAGUUUCAACUAGACAAUCCCUGGCACCAAAUCCAAGAAAAGAAAAACAUGAGAAAAAUCGUGAUGUGUGGGGAUUGGUUAUAUAUUCAUAAAGCCACUAAUCAGUUUCUUUUCUCUCUCAUUUUUGUUAGGCUUUCUUUGUCUACUUUCAGGUCUUAUCUCCAUAUGAACACUGAUAGCAGAUAAAUCAAGACAACAGCUUCCUUCAUUUUUAGGAGUUUUGUUAAAAUUGACUUUCUCCCUCUGACAUGAAUAUCAGUUUAUAUCUCAAUCAAAUCUGGAAUUGUAGUUUAGAGAGAAAAUACAUAAAAUAUGUGUAGAAGAUUUUCCUAUGUCAUCCUUCUCACAGACACUUUCUGUUACUUUUAGAUUUAUUUCAGAUUAUUGUUUACUACGCAAUCAUUAAUAAUUUACAGAAGUAAAGGCUUUUGUUUGGUAGUGAUUUGUUAUAACUGGAAUAAUGAAAAUAAUUAUAUGUAUCUUAUCUCCAGUUCUUCAGUUUUGUAAAGUUCUGCUAAACUCAAGUGUUCAAGCUGUAAUAUAUCUCUUUUACUUUGGGUCUUACCAUUGAAUGACCUGACCUUUUAAUAAAGAUUUUUGUUUCCUA